rnacentral:miRNA from 1 species
GCCCCCUCCCUUGGUCGCCGG